rnacentral:rRNA from 1 species
UGCCCUAGUAACGGCGAGUGAAGCGGCAACAGCUCAAAUUUGAAAGCUGGCUCCGGCCCGCAUUGUAAUUUGCAGAGGAUGCUUCUGGCAAGGUGCCUUCCGAGUUCCCUGGAACGGGACGCCACAGAGGGUGAGAGCCCCGUAUGGAUGGACACCAAGCCUGUGUGAAGCUCCUUCAACGAGUCGAGUAGUUUGGGAAUGCUGCUCAAAAUGGGAGGUAAAUCUCUUCUAAAGCUAAAUACCGGCCAGAGACCGAUAGCGCACAAGUAGAGUGAUCGAAAGAUGAAAAGCACCUUGAAAAGGGGGUUAAACAGUACGUGAAAUUGUUGAAAGGGAAGCGCUUGUGACCAGACUUGUGCCGGGCGGCUCAUCAGGGGUUCUCCCCUGUGCACUCCGCCCGGCUCAGGCCAGCAUCGGUUCUCGUGGGAGGAUAAGAACGGUGGGAACGUGGCCCCCUCUCGGGGGGGUGUUAUAGCCCACCGUACGAUACUCUCGUGGGGACCGAGGUUCGCGCUCCGCAAGGAUGCUGGCGUAAUGGUCAUCAGCGACCCGUCUUGAAACACGGACCAAGGAGUCGUCCAUUAGAGCGAGCGUUUGGGUGUAAAACCCGCACGCGUAAUGAAAGUGAACGCAGGUGAGAGCUUCGGCGCAUCAUCGACCGAUCCUGAUGUCUUCGGAUGGAUUUGAGUAAGAGUUUUAACGGACGGACCCGAAAGACAGUGAACUAUGCUUGUAUAGGGUGAAGCCAGAGGAAACUCUGGUGGAGGCUCGCAGCGGUUCUGACGUGCAAAUCGAUCGUCAAAUAUGAGCAUGGGGGCGAAAGACUAAUCGAACUGUCUAGUAGCUGGUUACCGCCGAAGUUUCCCUCAGGAUAGCAGUGUUGUUCUUCAGUUUUAUGAGGUAAAGCGAAUGAUUAGGGACUCGGGGGCGCUUAUUAGCCUUCAUCCAUUCUCAAACUUUAAAUAUGUAAGAAGCCCUUGUUACUUAAUUGAACGUGGGCAUUCGAAUGUACCAACACUAGUGGGCCAUUUUUGGUAAGCAGAACUGGCGAUGCGGGAUGAACCGAACGCGGGGUUAAGGCGCCAGAGUGUACGCUCAUCAGACACCACAAAAGGCGUUAGUACAUCUUGACAGCAGGACGGUGGCCAUGGAAGUCGGAAUCCGCUAAGGACUGUGUAACAACUCACCUGCCGAAUGUACUAGCCCUGAAAAUGGAUGGCGCUCAAGCGUACCGCCCAUACCCCGCCCUCAGGGUAGAAACGAUGCCCUGAGGAGUAGGCGGCCGUG